UACAUAGGUGGCAAGCGUUGUCCGGAAUUAUUGGGCGUAAAGCGCGCGCAGGUGGUUCCUUAAGUCUGAUGUGAAAGCCCCCGGCUCAACCGGGGAGGGUCAUUGGAAACUGGUCGACUUGAGUGCAGAAGAGGGAAGUGGAAUUCCAUGUGUAGCGGUGAAAUGCGUAGAGAUAUGGAGGAACACCAGUGGCGAAGGCGGCUUCCUGGUCUGUAACUGACACUGAGGCGCGAAAGCGUGGGGAGCAAACAGG
rnacentral:rRNA from 1 species